rnacentral:lncRNA from 1 species
GAUGACUAUGUCACCUUCACCACGACAACAUUUAUCGUGUGGCAAAGAGAACAAAAGUGUGAAGUGCAGGUUUGCCUAACCAGAUUCAUCGGACACUUGGAGUGACCGUGCUUUGCUAGGGGCCACUGCCGACUAACCGAGUCAGAUUUGAUCUGACUUGCGACCAAGUGAACAAGAACCUAAUGAGUCUCGUGCUUAAGGGAAGGAACACAUGGGUUUUAGGAUCCGUGGGAGGCCCAAGAGUUGAGUCCGCGACGGAUUCCUAUAUAU